UGCGCCGCUUGGAGCCCGCAGCUUGGCCGUGCCUGUCUCUGCUCGGGCUCGAGCAGAGCACAAUGCUCCAGGAGUGUUGACCCCGUUUCUGACCUCCCUCCCGCAUGCUUGCUAGAGGAGCUGCCUCGCUGGAGCAUGGAGCCACUGCCAUGAAGGGCCACCCCCCGGAGUUUUGACGCGUUGCCUAGGAGCUCCACCAUCGGCCAGGUCCCGCGUCAAGUCGCUGGAGCCACCAGUUGCCCCCGGAUCCGCCACCAAGACCAACCCGUCUACCUCGCCUGACUCACCGCCGCUGGAUCACGAUCUUGCCUGCCCAGCCCUCCUUGGCAUCCCUUGCACCUCGCUGCCCCAGAGUGGCCUAGUCAUGAGCUCCUCGCCGCUAGGCCAGGCGGACUCCGCUGCCCUGGAUCUCGCCGCCAUCGGGGACCGGUAUCCGAGGGUCGGGGUCGUCCAUCCCUUGCCCAUGCCGACAGCAAGCCGCCGCACCAGCACCUUCAUCACCGACCAUGCCAGAUUGCUUUCGGAGAGGAGCACAAUGUCAUCAACCCCGGAACCUAGGAGUCGAGGAUAGCAACCUUGUGAGAUAGGAAAUUAUCCAGGUCAGCUGUUGCUGUGGGAAAGGAGUCCCAUGGGCACUGUAGAUUCCUCUUGUCGCUUCCGCUGUGAGCCUCAGACUUUUGUACAACCCUAUGGACCUUCUCGGUCUUGUAACCCAAAUUCUGUAAUUUGGCUUGGGAUUUCUGUAUCAAGUGAGUGUCCACCAGCUAACAGUAAUCCUGGAGCAAGUGAACACAAA